CUGUACUGAGUUUAGUUUUGCUAAUAAUGGUAUUCUACGUGUGUCAGCCUCGUGUGGACUUCUGUAAUGACUAAUGGAUAUGUUUAUAUCCUGAGCAUUUGCUGUAGGAAUUUUAAAUGCAAUCCCAAAACUCAAGAUUACCUUAUUUGGAGAAAUAUUCGUGUUACUAUGUUUAAAAUUUAAUAGAACCAUAUUUUACCUUUCACUUUGGGACUCGCACAGGAUGUUUGCAGCUCUUGAUAUACAGGAACUAGAACGUGUCUUUUAAGAGCAUGCGGUUUUAUAAUUACGUGGAAGUAUGCUACGCAAGGGAAAAAAGCCUCUUGCUAGUGUUAAGGGUCUUCAUAAACAGAAACCGCAAGGAACCUGGGAUCUGACAGCUGUUGGAGGAAUGCCUGUGAGGAAGGAGGAGGAACAGAAGAAUGCUUUGAUGUCUUAAAUGGUACAUCCAAACUUAAGUGAAAUAGAGCUGUGAGGACAUUUUGGGGAGAAGUGACCUAGAUAAGCACUGACUGUUGCAUUCAUCUCUCUUCUUGCUGAUUGUGAUGAUUUCCUGUGCCAUAGCCAUUCAAAGUCUGCCAAAAAAGAGAUGGGAUUUUGCCAUGUUGCCUAGGCUGGUCUCAAACUCCUGAGCUCAAGUGAUCUGUCCACCUUGGCCUUCCUGUGAUUACAGGUGUGAGCCACUGUGCCCACCAACUGACCAUUACAUCUUUAUGGUUUUCUUCCAAAAGCAAUCUGAAGAAUUUUGGGAUUACAGCUUUUAUUGUUAUUAAGGUAUAGCUUAUGCAUUAAAUAAUUUCUUCUUUUACUGUGUGUGUAUACGUGUUUGUGUAUGUGUGUGUUUAAAUAUGGAUGAUAAAAAUCAGCUGUAGCACUUAAAACAGUGAUGUCUGUAAAUACCUUGGACCUAAAUACUACCUAACUAGCGUAGGAAAUUUAUCCCCAAAAGUGAGAAUGAUCAGUCC
rnacentral:lncRNA from 1 species